rnacentral:tRNA from 17 species
UGAUUCCGUAGCUCAGCUGGGAGAGCGCUACCUUGACAGGGUAGAGGUCGCUGGUUCGAGCCCAGUCGGAAUCAU